rnacentral:snoRNA from 1 species
GGUCCGAUGCCACGUCUGCGGUAGCGAAAUUAGGGCACUGACCGGGGAUGCUAUGAUCUGGCCUAUAAAAAAAUUUAUUGUUUCGCAUUCUGAUAGAAAACUGUGGGUGAUCUUAUUAAAUCCAUUCACCUACAGAGCCGAUUUUUGCGAUUACAGUU